UACGUAGGGUGCAAGCGUUGUCCGGAAUUAUUGGGCGUAAAGAGCUCGUAGGCGGUCUGUCGCGUCGGCUGUGAAAACUCGGGGCUCAACCCCGAGCCUGCAGUCGAUACGGGCAGACUAGAGUUCGGUAGGGGAGACUGGAAUUCCUGGUGUAGCGGUGAAAUCCGUUGAUAUCAUGGGGAACACCAAAUGCGAAGGCAAUUCACUGGCGCACUCCUGACGCUGAGACACGAAAGCGUAGGUAGCGAAUGGG
rnacentral:rRNA from 1 species